rnacentral:lncRNA from 1 species
UAAAAGUAAUGCCCACCUCAAACGUUCUUAAGCUAGCGUGGAGUCGCUUCUUCUUCGGCUUCACUUCCUGUCGCCCGGACCUUUAUUGAUGAAGAGUCGGUAAGUUCGUGAAGAAAAUUGUCACAAGACAAAGUCUAAUUCUACGUGCUUAGGGUAUCUUUUAGUAUUUUAGGGUUCUAGCAUCCAUAAUUCGUUCCAUUAAAGACAUUCAAAAACUAACAUACCUCGUCUAAUCUCAUUGAAACACAUAGGCAACACAAACACAUAAGGCACAUAAGAAUCACAAACAAACA